rnacentral:rRNA from 1 species
UGCCCAGACUCCUACGGGAGGCAGCAGUGGGGGAUAUUGCACAAUGGGGGGAACCCUGAUGCAGCGACGCCGCGUGGGUGAAGGAGUGCUUCGGCAUGUAAAGCCCUAUCGGCAGGGAAGAAGCAAGGCGGUACCUGACUAAGAAGCCCCGGCUAACUACGUGCCAGCAGCCGCGGGAAUACGUAGGGGGCGAGCGUUAUCCGGAUUCACUGGGUGUAAAGGGAGCGUAGACGGCCAUGCAAGCCAGGGGUGAAAGCCCGGGGCCCAACCCCGGGACUGCUCUGGGAACUGUGCGGCUGGAGUGCAGGAGAGGUAAGUGGAAUUCCUAGUGUAGCGGUGAAAUGCGUAGAUAUUAGGAGGAACACCAGUGGCGAAGGCGGCUUACUGGACUGUAACUGACGUUGAGGCUCGAAAGCGUGGGGAGCAAACAGGAUUAGAUACCCGGGUAU